rnacentral:rRNA from 1 species
GUCAGGAUGAACGCUGGCGGCGUGCCUAACACAUGCAAGUCGAGCGAUUACUUCGGUAAAGAGCGGCGGACGGGUGAGUAACGCGUGGGUAACCUGCCUCAUACACAUGGAUAACAUACCGAAAGGUAUGCUAAUACAGGAUAAUAUAAGAGAUUCACAUGGAUUUCUUAUCAAAGCUCCGGCGGUAUGAGAUGGACCCGCGUCUGAUUAGCUAGUUGGUAAGGUAAUGGCUUACCAAGGCGACGAUCAGUAGCCGACCUGAGAGGGUGAUCGGCCACAUUGGAACUGAGACACGGUCCAAACUCCUACGGGAGGCAGCAGUGGGGAAUAUUGCACAAUGGGCGAAAGCCUGAUGCAAGCAACGCCGCGUGAGUGAUGAAGGCCUUCGGGUCGUAAAACUCUGUCCUCAAGGAAGAUAAUGACGGUACUUGAGGAGGAAGCCCCGGCUAACUACGUGCCAGCAGCUGC